rnacentral:rRNA from 1 species
UACAGAGGUCUCAAGCGUUGUUCGGAUUCAUUGGGCGUAAAGGGGUGCGUAGGCGGCGCGGUAAGUCGGGUGUGAAAUCUCGGAGCUUAACUCCGAAACUGCAUUCGAUACUGCCGUGCUUGAGGACUGGAGAGGAGACUGGAAUUUACGGUGUAGCGGUGAAAUGCGUAGAUAUCGUAAGGAAGACCAGUGGCGAAGGCGGGUCUCUGGACAGUUCCGU